AGGGUUCGAUUCCGGAGAGAACGCAUGAGAAUCGGCGUUCACAGCUAAGGUUGGCAGCAGGAGCGAAAACUUUUCGAAUAGGCAUUGCCUGAAAAGGUGACUAUCGGUAUCGACAACUACUUUUAGUAAUUGAUUGGAAUGAGAGACUAUUAGAAUUGGUCUUGAGUAGCAAGUUCAGGGUAAGUCUGGUGCCAGCAGCCGCGGUAAUACCAGCUGAGCUAGAUAUGGGUAACAUUGUUGCAGUAAAAACGUACGUAGUCACUGUCAUCCAUUUUACAGAUCCUUGUGAUUUUGUAAUGGGAUAGAAGUUCCUUUUUUGGAACAAAAUCCGUGAUUAAACUAGAACGAUAAACUUGAAUGUUGAAUAUGACAGCGUGGGAAUCUUUUUGAUGCCAGUUACUGAGAUGCAAUCUUAGUGAUGGGGAUAUACUGUAAGAAUGAAUGAGGGCAUCAGUACUUAAUAGCUAGAGGUGAAAUUCCUAGAUUUGUUAAUGACUAGCUACCGCGAAAGCAUUUGCCAAA
rnacentral:rRNA from 1 species